ensembl:lncRNA
GGCAUGCGCUCAGGGAAUACACUGCUGUGUGACCCGCAUAAGUUACUUAUUAGUUCAAUUAAAAUGCGGAAUGUUAAACAUUAAAUAAGGCAAAGUGAAGUUAUGAAAUCAUAAACAGUGAGUCUGCAGAAAAGGAAGAGGUGGGAGGGUCCAGGACGACAGCCCCUCAUUGCUGGUGGAGAUAUCCCUUCUGCAGCACUCUUCAUUCCUCCAGAGGGUUUCAAGCCCUCACUGGUACCAGCCAUGCCCCAAAACUUGUCAGAGCUGGGCUGUGGGGGAAGUGAGCUUAGGCAGCAGGGAGAGAGUGAGCACUUCCUCAGCCUGCAGCCAGAAUCUGCUACCUAACAGAAAAAGGACAGUGGGAUUUUCCGUGCAACAGAGACUGAGUGUGACUGCUGGGGGAGAAAGCAGGCGGAGAGAUUAGACAUGUCUGAUGCUGACAGAAAGCAUGUUUGUGCUUAAUACAUUGGAGAAAUUGUUCAGGAGCAAUCCAGCCGUGUGAAAAUAUGACCCUUGAAAUACUGCCAAGGGCCAGCUUGCGGAAGAAGGAAUUGUGGCUCUUCCUGCCUGCAAAGUAUGCCUGCUUGGAAAGUCCAUCUACAAAUCCUGAAGAGGUACAUGGACAGUUUGGGGCAGUCCUGGCAAGCACCAAGUACCAGAAGGAGGGCACAUGCUUGUACAGAAACGUGAUGGACAGAGAGCCUGUUUAUGUUACUUGAUGUGGUCACCUGAGUUGAGGAGCAGUGUGGAGCUACUGCAUCCAACAAAGCAUCAAGAGAUGCUGUCACAACCCUACACACAAUCCACUGCAAGACCAAGCCACCAAUUCUGCACAGCCACCAGUGCUGUCUGUGCUUCAGGAAAACUGAGAAAAGCUGAAGAGGCUGAACUUGUCGUCCUGAAGGAGAAGAAAAUGCCUCAGAAAACCAGGAACCCUUCCAUCCAUGCUAAGAGAAUACUUGUUCAAUUAAACGACUUUUACCUGUGUGGCAGCAGCUUGUAUCUCUUAAUGUGCCAAAUCCCUGUCUCACUGUUAGUCUCUGUACCUAGUAGCUGUCUUAAAACCCCUCAGACUGAGAGGUGACCCUCUCACCUCUCUAUCUCCUCCUGGCCAUCGAAGGUCACUUCAGCAAUGUCUAAAGAGUUAUCUUCUUUACUGAAAACACUUGGAGCAGCAUGGUGAAUGCCACUGUCAAGCCUGGAGCCAUAGUCAAAGACAAGGAAGUGCCCUGCCCCCAUGAGAUAAACCUUCUCCAACGCCAGGUUAAAACAAACAAACAAACAACGAAAAAAACAAUUAGAGCUUUCACUGCUCAAAGAUAGCUAUUAACAAACCUGCUGUUUUGCAGAAGUAGCAUGUAUGAACGUAUGUAUCUAUAAAAGAAAACCAACAAAAUUAUCCUCCCUAAAUUGUAAUGGCUUCUUCAGUAUUCAUAUUAAUACUUACUUUAAACCUUGAUGUCUAACUCUUCAUGAGCAUUCCUGUCUAGAGAAAUUAAUUUAUGCUUUGUUCUGAAAGCAUAUCAGCAAAUGGCCAUUGAUGCUGAUAGCCAUUUAUUGCUCCGGCAGUGAGGUUAAACAGCUUGUACUUUUAACUGCAUGGUACAAAAGAUAUAAAACUAUUUGCUUGAGAUAUUAAUCCAGGAUGACCUGAUAUAACAUGACAGUAAAAGAGCUUUUCCCAAAGAAGGGAAAUGUGUGCUUUGCUCGGUACCUCCUGCUGACUUCUCUGUUCCCAGUGAAUAAACAUACAGCUGAAUUCUCCCAUGCAGGUGUGAUCCAGGAAUGAACUGGCAGCACAUCCUUGUAUCUGCGAGUGCCAAGUCUAACUCACAGAAGCAGCCCACCACCAGCUCUGCAGCCAAAAUACUUGCUCCAUUUUCUCAAGAAUCAACAAAAUAACACACGAACAAAAAAUUCACUCAGUAUAUAUCUCUAAAGAAUGAAGCACCUUGGCGUAUAUACAAUGAAGCAUCAUGUGCAAGAAUGGUGUUUCAUGACUCAGCCACCAUAGACGACUUCACGGAAGCAAAAAGGGAAACUGUGCGUGAGGGAAAUGAGAAAUGGUCUAAUGAUUAAAGAUGAUGUACAGUCUAAUCUCUACAGAUGACCUAGUAAUUUGAAGGAGAAGAGCUUAAACGUUGGAAUAUUUCAUCUGAAAUAAUCUGUUCCCCAGAAGAGGGGAGCCACGUGCCCUCAGAUUGCAGCUGCUGAAUUGUCCAGCAGGUUGGCAAAGGAAAGUACAUGCUCUGUUUGCAUAUUUGUCCCGUGCCUUUUGUAUCCCAACUUGAGUUCUAUUCUGUUUCAGUCUGUUUUUCUGUUACUCAGAAAAAAACUCUGAAAAACAUUAAACUCAGCUCCUC